GAUGAACGCUGGCGGCGUGCCUAAUACAUGCAAGUCGAGCGAAGCGGGGACGGGUGAGUAACACGUGGAUAACCUCCUAUAAGACUGGGAUAACUUCGGGAAACCGGAGCUAAACCGGAUGCUUAUAGAUGGAUCCGCGCGGCAUUAGCUAGUUGGUAAGGUAACGGCUUACCAAGGCAACGAUACAUAGCCGACCUGAGAGGGGGAUCGGCCAAACGGGAACUGUGACACGGUCCAGACUCGUACGGUAGGCAGCAGUAGGGAAGCUGCCGCAAUGGGCGAAAGCCGGAGGGAGCAACGCCGCGGGAGUGAUGAAGGUCUGCGGAUCGUAAAACUUUGUUAUUGGGGAAGCGGUACCUAAGCAGAAAGCCACGGCUAACUACGUGCCAGCCGCCGCGGUAAUUC
rnacentral:rRNA from 1 species